rnacentral:rRNA from 1 species
AGAGUUUGAUCAUGGCUCAGAAUCAACGCUGGCGGCGUGCCUAACACAUGCAAGUCGAACGAGAAAGUGGAGCAAUCCAUGAGUAAAGUGGCGACCGGGUGAGUAACACGUGACUAACCUACCUCCGAGUGGGGAAUAACUCCGGGAAACCGGGGCUAAUACCGCAUAACAUCGCAAGAUCAAAGCAGCAAUGCGCUUGGAGAGGGGGUCGCGGCUGAUUAGCUAGUUGGCGGGGUAACGGCCCACCAAGGCAAAGAUCGGUAGCCGGCCUGAGAGGGCACACGGCCACACUGGCACUGAAACACGGGCCAGACUCCUACGGGAGGCAGCAGUGGGGAAUCUUGCACAAUGGGGGCAACCCUGAUGCAGCGACGCCGCGUGAGCGAUGAAGCCCUUCGGGGUGUAAAGCUCUUUCGGCAGGGAAGAUGAUGACGGUACCUGCAGAAGCAGCUGCGGCUAACUACGUGCCAGCAGCCGCGGUAAUACGUAGGCAGCGAGCGUUGUUCGGAGUUACUGGGCGUAAAGGGUGUGUAGGCGGUUCUUUAAGUUUGGUGUGAAAUCUCCCGGCUCAACCGGGAGGGUGCGCCGAAUACUGAGGGACUCGAGUGCGGGAGAGGAAAGUGGAAUUCCUGGUGUAGCGGUGAAAUGCGUAGAUAUCAGGAGGAACACCGGUGGUGUAGACGGCUUUCUGGACCGUAACUGACGCUGAGACACGAAAGCGUGGGUAGCAAACAGGAUUAGAUACCCUAGUAGUCC